rnacentral:rRNA from 1 species
GAUGAACGCUGGCGGUAUGCUUAACACAUGCAAGUCGAACGGACUCUUCGGAGUUAGUGGCGGACGGGUGAGUAACGCGUGAGAAUCUGGCUUCUGGUUCGGGAUAACAGUGGGAAACGACUGCUAAUACCGGAUGUGCCUGCGGGUAAAAGGCUUGCUGCCAGAAGAUGAGCUCGCGUCUGAUUAGCUAGUUGGUGGGGUAAGAGCCUACCAAGGCGACGAUCAGUAGCUGGUCUGAGAGGAUGAUCAGCCACACUGGGACUGAGACACGGCCCAGACUCCUACGGGAGGCAGCAGUGGGGAAUUUUCCGCAAUGGGCGAAAGCCUGACGGAGCAAUACCGCGUGAGGGAAGAAGGCUCUUGGGUUGUAAACCUCUUUUCUCAGGGAAUAAGAAAGUGAAGGUACCUGAGGAAUCAGCAUCGGCUAACUCCGUGCCAGCAGCCGCGGUAAUACGGAGGAUGCAAGCGUUAUCCGGAAUGAUUGGGCGUAAAGCGUCCGCAGGUGGUUAUUCAAGUCUGCCGUUAAAGAGUCUGGCUUAACCAGAUAAAGGCGGUGGAAACUGAAAGACUAGAGUGCGGUAGGGGCAGAGGGAAUUCCCAGUGUAGCGGUGAAAUGC